rfam:Beta vulgaris subsp. vulgaris Bvchr4.sca010.con0013.1, whole genome shotgun sequence.
UUAAUUUGACUCAGCACGACAAAACUUAGGUCCAGAUAUAGAAAUAAUUGACAGACUAAUAGCUCUUUCCUCAUUCUAUGGGUGGUGGUGCAUGGUCGUUCUUAUCGGUUUCCAAAAUUAAGGACGCAUCGUAAACAAUUAUUUUUUUCUUAAAGUACUUUAGUU